UCGCACGAGAAAGGGAGCAAUCCUAAGUAAAGUGGCGCACGGGUGAGUAACACGUGGAUCAUCUACCUUUUAGUGGGGAAUACCUCUGGGAAACCGGAGACAAUACCGCAUAAGCCUGUAAAGGGAAAGCAGCAAUGCGCUGAAAGAGGAGUCCGCGGCCGAUUAGCUAGUUGGCGGGGUAAUGGCCCACCAAGGCGAAGAUCGGUAGCCGGCCUGAGAGGGCACACGGCCACACUGGCACUGAAACACGGGCCAGACUCCUACGGGAGGCAGCAGUGGGGAAUCUUGCACAAUGGGCGAAAGCCUGAUGCAGCGACGCCGCGUGAGCGAUGAAGCCCUUCGGGGUGUAAAGCUCUUUCGACGGGAACGAUAAUGACGGUACCCGGAGAAGAAGCUGCGGCUAACUACGUGCCAGCAGCCGCGGUAAUACGUAGGCAGCGAGCGUUGUUCGGAAUUACUGGGCGUAAAGAGUGUGUAGGCGGUGUUCCCAGUCUGUUGUGAAAUCUCCCGGCUUAACUGGGAGGGUGCAGCGGAAACUAGAAUGCUAGAGGGUGGGAAAGGUAAGCGGAAUUCCUGGUGUAGCGGUGAAAUGCGUAGAUAUCAGGAGGAACACCUGUGGUGUAGACAGCUUACUGGACCACUUCUGACGCUGAGACACGAAAGCGUGGGUAGCAAACAGGAUUAGAUACCCUGGUAGUCCACGCCCUAAACGAUGCAUACUUGGUGUG
rnacentral:rRNA from 1 species